AUCUCUCAGCCAGUGAUGAAUUACUGCUAUUAUUAUUGCUUGCUGAGUUCGUCCAUGAUUCAUUUAGACUCCUGUCCAGCAAAUUGCUGGAUGAAUCCAGGAAGUUCUGUGGAGAAGGAAGCUUGUUUCAAUAACAGCACAUCGUUCACGUCGCGGUUCACACAAAAUGAGACCUCCUUCUCCCAUGUCUUGUCGACAUUGCUGAAACACCGCACCCUUGCAUCUUAACUCUGCAGUGAAUCCAGCUUUGGUGUCCUCCCAAUCAUCUGCAGCCUUACAGAAUGGUUCCCCUACUGUAUGAAAGAAAGGGGGAACAAGCCAGCGACGAUACCAGACAACACUUACACGAUGUCAAGCCGCAUUUGUGGAGACAAUAAAAGAGAUGUUUGAUGGGAAGUCACGGUAGCAGUGACCAAAAGAGGUGUUUUAAACUAAAACAUAGAUUGUUUCCUGAACCCCAACCGCAAACCACAGGCACAGUGUUGUCACAAGAUGAACUUUAAAAAAAAAAAAAGUUACCUUAAGAAGUAAACUUGCGACAUAAAGAAAUGUAGAGUUUCAGCACAGCCGUGGUUUGCCGCAACAUACAUUGUUAACAUACAUUCUUUCUAAGAAUACUGUAUUUUUCAUACGAUUGUGCAUUUGAGGGCAAUUGAGGAAUGUUUGACCAAAGCUAUAA